rnacentral:rRNA from 1 species
UGGGGAAUAUUGGACAAUGGGCGCAAGCCUGAUCCAGCCAUGCCGCGUGAGUGAUGAAGGCCCUAGGGUUGUAAAGCUCUUUCACCGGUGAAGAUAAUGACGGUAACCGGAGAAGAAGCCCCGGCUAACUUCGUGCCAGCAGCCGCGGUAAUACGAAGGGGGCUAGCGUUGUUCGGAAUUACUGGGCGUAAAGCGCACGUAGGCGGGUAUUUAAGUCAGGGGUGAAAUCCCGGAGCUCAACUCCGGAACUGCCUUUGAUACUGGGUACCUAGAGUAUGGAAGAGGUAAGUGGAAUUCCUAGUGUAGAGGUGAAAUUCGUAGAUAUUCGGAGGAACACCAGUGGCGAAGGCGGCUUACUGGUCCAUUACUGACGCUGAGGUGCGAAAGCGUGGGGAGCAAACA